rnacentral:snRNA from 1 species
GGAUGUGAGGGUGAUCUGGCUGCGACAUCUGUCACCCCACUAAUCACCAGGGUUGAUUUGGCUGAUCUGGUUGGCUAGGCAGGUGUCCCCUUCCACCCUCACUGCUCACGUGCUUCCCUCCUGAACCUCGGUCAGAGAAGAUGACCAUCCCCAAUAGAGGAGGACCAGUCUUCAUCAAGGGUAUAUGAGUAGCUGUGCUCUCCUGCUAGAACCUGCAAACAAGCUGUUAUAGCAACACAAAACAGACUAAGACAUGCAUUAUCAAUUUUGUGAAAAUAAAGGUCGUGUCUAAGCUGUAGAGGACCUU